rnacentral:lncRNA from 1 species
AUGAGACCACUGAGCAUCUGCGGAAACUCAGAUCUGGUUUGUUUGACUUGGACCUGCAGUAAAACUGACUUUAAAUGUUACUUCAGCUUUGAGUUGGUGAUUACCCUCGUACUUUUACAAUCCAUGCCUGGAAAUGGGAUGUUAAUUGUUGUUAAUGAGACUGUCCACCUGGAUCUCAGAGCUCAUGGGGAAAACCACCCUCACCCACCCUGCAGGAGAAGCACAAUGGCACAAUGGCACCCUCUGUUGCCCUGCACGCUGCUCCCACGUGGAUGUAUGAACUCCCAAAGGCCUACUUUCUCCCAGAUGAUGGGAGAUGAGAAGAAUUGCCUAAGCUUUUGGUACUGUGUAGAUCUCUGCUGAAACACAUUCUGAUUGCUGCUGACCUCGAUACAUCUUUUUUCUUAUAAGCUUAAGCCCGCAAGCUUCAGAAUUCAACAUAAAAGAGCAGCUGCCAUCUGAUUUUGUUCUCAUUUAUAGAGAAACAACUCAAUUUCAGGAAAUAAAUAAAUAAAUAAGCAAUUCA